CCUGGUUGAUCCUGCCAAUAGUUAUAUGCUUGUCUCAAAGAUUAAGCCAUGCAUGUCUAAGUAUAAACUAAUUCAGAUUGUGAAACUGUGGAUAGCUCAUUAAAUCAAUUAUAGUUUUUUUGAUGGUACCAUACUACUCGAAUAACUAUAGUAAUUCUAGAGCUAAUACAUGCACCAAGUCCUGAAUCUUUGGAAGGGAUGUAUUUUUGAGAUAAAAGGCCAGCGCGGGCUUGCCCGCUUCUCCGGUGAAUCAUGAUAACUCGACAGAUCGCACAGCCCUUGUGCUGGCGAUGCUUCAUUCAAAUUUUUUCCCUAUCAACUUUCGAUGGUAGGAUAGAGGCCUAACAUGGUGGUGACAGGUGACGGAGAAUUAGGGUUUGAUUCCGGAGAGGGAGCCUGAGAAAUGGCUACCACAUCCAAGGAAGGCAGCAGGCAUGCAAAUUACCCAAUAUUGACAUGGGGAGGUAGUGACAAUAAAUAACAAUACUGGGCUCAUCAAGUUUGGUAAUUGGAAUGAGUACAAUCUAAAUCCCUUAAGGAGGAUCCAUUGCAGGGCAAGUCUGGUGCCAGCAGCUGCGGUAAUUCCAGCUCCAAUAGUGUAUAUUUAAGUUGUUGCAGUUAAAAAGCUCGUAGUUGGAUCUUGGGUCGUAAAGGUAGGUCCACCUACUCGGUGUGCACCUGCCCUUCCGUCCCUUUUGUCGGCGGCGUGCUCCUGGCCUUAAUUGGCUGGGUCGCAGCUCCGGCGCUGUUACUUUGAAAAAAUUAGAGUGCUUAAAGCAAGCUUAUGCUCUGAAUACAUUAGCAUGGAAUAACAUGAUAGGAGUCUGGUCCUAUUGUGUUGGCCUUCGGGACCAGAGUAAUGAUUAAUAGGGACUGUUGGGGGCAUUUGUAUUUCAUUGUCAGAGGUGAAAUUCUUGGAUUUACGAAAGACAGACCACUGCGAAAGCAUUUCCCAAGGAUGUUUUCAUUAAUAAAGAAUGAAAGUUGGGGGCUCAAAGACGAUCAAAUACCAUCCUAGUCUCAACCAUAAACGAUGCCGACCAGGGAUCAACGGAUGUUACUCUAAGGAAUCCACUAGAACCUUCUGAGAAAUCAGAGUGUUUGGGUUCUGGGGGGAGUAUGGUCGCAAGGCUGAAACUUAAAGGAAUUGAUGGAAGGGCACCACCAGAAGUGGAGCCUAUGGCUUAAUUUGACUCAACACGGGGAAACUUACCAGGUCCAGACAUAGUAAGGAUUGACAUAUUGACAGCUCUUUCUUCAUUCUACGGGUGGUGGUGCAUCGCCGUUCUUAGUUGGUGGAGCAAUUUGUCUGGUUAAUUCCGAUAACAAACGAGACCUCAGCCUGCUAACUAGCUACGCAGAGGUUCCCCUUCAUGGCCAGCUUCUUAGAGGGACUAUGGCCAUUUAGGCCAUGGAAGUUUGAGGCAAUAACAGGUCUAUGAUGCCCUUAGAUGUUCUGGGCCGCACGCGCGCUACACUGAUUCAGCCAAUGAGAUUUUCUUCCUGGUUCGAGAGGAUCGGGAAAUCUUCUCAAACUGCAUCGUGAUGGGGAUAGACCAUUUCAAUUAUUGGUCUUCAACGAGGAAUUACUAGUAAGCGCGUGUCAUCAACCUGUUGCUCCUACCAAUUGAAUGAUCUGGUGAAGUGUUUAGAUUGCGUCGACGAUGGUGGUCCACUGUCGUCGACGUUGUGAGAAGUUCAUUGAACCUUAUCAUUUAGAGGAAGGAGAAGUCGUAAUAAGGUUACUGUAGGUGAACCUGCGGUAG
rnacentral:rRNA from 1 species